rnacentral:lncRNA from 1 species
UAAUAAGUCACUCUAAUUCAUGCAAUUACACACAUCAAACAUAUUGAAAGUGUAAAAUCAACAUUGCAACAGAAUUAAGUGACCACAUACAUGCAGAAAGGAUUACACACAGAUGCAAUGUAAGAACUAGGUUUAUUCUCUCAAUAAACCUCACUAGAAUCACUACUCGACCCUAAAGUCACAUUCGUCUUGUCUCUAUC